UACGUAGGCAGCAAGCGUUGUUCGGAAUUACUGGGCGUAAAGAGUGUGUAGGCGGUGUUCUAAGUUUGUCGUGAAAUCUCCCGGCUUAACUGGGAGGGUGCGGCGAAAACUGGAAUGCUAGAGGAUGGGAGAGGUAAGCGGAAUUCCUGGUGUAGCGGUGAAAUGCGUAGAUAUCAGGAGGAACACCUGUGGUGUAGACAGCUUACUGGACCAUUUCUGACGCUGAGACACGAAAGCGUGGAUAGCAAACAGG
rnacentral:rRNA from 1 species